rnacentral:rRNA from 1 species
UACAGAGGGGGCAAGCGUUGUUCGGAAUUAUUGGGCGUAAAGGGUGCGUAGGCGGUGCGGUAAGUCUUCUGUGAAAUCUACGGGCUUAACUCGUAGUCUGCAGGAGAAACUGCCGUGCUUGAGUACUGGAGAGGAGACUGGAAUUCAUGGUGUAGCAGUGAAAUGCGUAGAGAUCAUGAGGAAGACCAGUGGCGAAGGCGGGUCUCUGGACAGUUCCUGACACUGAGGCACGAAGGCCAGGGGAGCAAACGGG